rnacentral:lncRNA from 1 species
UAUAAUAAUAGCCCAAUACAAUAUUUAACAUAAUAUGUGUAACAUUUCAUUGAGACUCAAACGAUUUCCGUCUUAAAGUAAGCAGUAACAAUUGAUCGUCACAUAGAGCUCUCAUUAAAACCUGUAUGAUAACGCGUAAUAUACCAGUAAUACUGAAUCACUCAACUGGGCAAUUGCGUAUCCUGGGAUGUCUUACGAACGUCAUAGGAUCAACAUAAAAUGAACAUUGUAAAUCACAAAAAAACCUCUCUGUGGUUUCUCCGAGACUACAUUACAUUUAUGGGAAAAUACUACUCAUGUUUGAAUCUCAAUUUAGGUAUGUGCUUAUUACGUUUUUUGGAUAAAGGUGAAAAUGAAUAAGGCUAUCGGUAUUUCGAUUUUCUUCGUUUCACAAUGGGACCCCGCAUCGAUAGUUGGAAAAAUAUUAUAAUAAUAUAUUGACACAUUUAGCUCCUAAUGUUCGAGGCGUGUUCAAACAAGACAAUGUCUAAAAACCUGAAAUAGUUGAAAGGAAAAUAUGAUAGCAAAUUAAUAUAUAUAUAUUUUUUUUUUUUUUUAUUUGAUCCUAAUGAAACACGGACUCGGUUCACGUCAACGAAAUAGAGAUUAGGAGAGUCAAGGACGUUACGAAUGGGAGGACGAUGGAUUUUUAUGAUCGAGAAACAACCGGUGAUAAGAAUAAAACGUCGUUUUUUUUUUUUUUUUUUUUUUUAUAAUAACAUUUAGUAAUAUUUUGAGCAUUGUAAUGAAAAACUACACAAUAUAAUUAAUAUGAUACAUUUGUUUGCAUUUUUUUUUUCCUUUGUUUUUUUUUUUUUUUUAUAUAAUAUAAUAUUUACAAUAUUUUUGGUUUUUUGUUUUUCCAAUUACGCGUUUAUAUAAUAUUAUAUAGUAUUUUACGUACAGUAUUAUUGCAUACACGUGAAUAAAAUAAAACUCGCUGCAGACUGCAGUACAACGCGUAUUAUACUAUAUACGACCUAUAUCGAUUAAUUAGGGGGGGGGAGAGGGGGUUACAAAUCAAAAACUAUAUAUUUGAGGCUAGACAUAUCAGAGGCCGUAUCUGGGGGGGGGGGCAGACAGGGGAUCAAAGUAUUGAUAUUUUUAAUCGAGAUAAAUGCUAAACAUGUCCGUAACAAAAAAUAAUGAUACAGAUUUAAUUUAAAAACCCCUCCCGACAAUCUGGUCCAACUACGGCCCCAUAUACGGUAUAUCACAUAAAUUUAAUUUCAUUGUUCCGUAAAUGUAAAAUAACGAUAGUAUAAUAUUACGUGUUCGAAUGAAAAAUAAUACUAUUUUGAAAUAUCUCUCGUAUUUCGUAUUUUAAUUUUCGCCGAAUAGUAAAAAAUAAUAUAAUAUAAAUGAAUUAAAAACUAAAAAAAAAAAAAAAAAAAAAAAAAAAAAAUGAUUUGGCUCUGGUAAAAAUAAUUAUUUAUAUGUACACGAUUAAACAAUUUUUUUUUUUUAAAAAAAGAAAAGAAAAAAAAACAAUUAUCUUAUAAAUUAAAAUAAUAAUAAUAAUAAUAAUAAUAAUUAAUUAAUCAAUAAUAAUGUGUUAUAUAAACGAAGAUCAUACGUUAAUAAUAUUAUGGCAAGAUACAUUAUUGUAAUUAUUAUAUCAUAUUCAUUUUAUUGCUAAUUCUUAAGUCGUCUAUAUUAACAAGACGGAGUUUGUCGUUUAAUUUUUCGUAAUUAUGUGCGUAUGGUUUUUUAUUAUUAUUAUUUUUUUUUCUUUUUUGAUUUUCGUCGCUUUGCGUGCAAUAUCGACACACGCGAUACUGUAAUUUACAAUAAUUUUGACAUUCCACUAUAAUACGCUACUACAAUAAAUUAUUUUUCGGAAUUAAAAAUUAAUAAAGAAAACAAAACAAAAAUAAAAAAAAAAAACCGCGUUUCCGAGACGUUUUUUUUUUUCUUUUGAUUCAUCGGCGGAGGAUGGAAUUAUUUCGGAAAAACAAAAUUUGUUUCGAUAGCGAGCAAGCUGAUCAUUACCAACUAACCGAACGUUUACAGGUUUUUCGUACGAUCGUAAAAAAAUGUUUUUUCCGAAAACCGCAUACAAUAUUAUAUUAUAUUAUGGUACGUAAUAUUAUACAUAUUAUUUAAGUACGAUGGCACAUGAUAAGGGGCGGGAAUCAUUUAAGAUUUAUAUUAUAAUAUAAAUUUCGAGACUUAAAAAAAAAAAAAUAAUAAUAAUAAUAAUAAUAAUAAUAAAAUAAUAAUAUUAAAA